ACUCCUACGGGAGGCAGCAGUGGGAAUAUUGGACAAUGGGGGCAACCCUGAUCCAGCCAUGCCGCGUGUGUGAAGAAGGCCUUUUGGUUGUAAAGCACUUUAAGCAGUGAAGAAGACCUAACGGUUAAUACCCGUUAGCGAUGACAUUAGCUGCAGAAUAAGCACCGGCUAACUCUGUGCCAGCAGCCGCGGUAAUACAGAGGGUGCAAGCGUUAAUCGGAAUUACUGGGCGUAAAGCGAGCGUAGGUGGCUUGAUAAGUCAGAUGUGAAAUCCCCGGGCUUAACCUGGGAACUGCAUCUGAUACUGUUAAGCUAGAGUAGGUGAGAGGGAAGUAGAAUUCCAGGUGUAGCGGUGAAAUGCGUAGAGAUCUGGAGGAAUACCGAUGGCGAAGGCAGCUUCCUGGCAUCAUACUGACACUGAGGUUCGAAAGCGUGGGUAGCAAACAGGAUUAGAUACCCUGGUAGGCUCUG
rnacentral:rRNA from 1 species